AAAGGUGAUUCUUUUUACGUUUCUUUGGUAGUUUGAUGUUGUAAAAUAUUGAUAUUAAAAUAAAAGUAUUAUAGUUUAAAUUUUUACAGAAUAAUGAUGGUUACACCUUUUUUUUUAAUAUGAUAUCAAAAUAGAGAUACCGUAUCCAAAUUUUAUCAAAAUGUGAGGAAGAGUGUUGAAUAUAAAUAUUAAAAAUAUAAAUUUACUAUAUAUUAAUAUUGAAUAUAAAUAUUAAAAAUAUUAUUUUUUAAUAAUUUAAGUGUUGUUUCUUAUAAUUUAAUAGAUG
rnacentral:lncRNA from 1 species